AUCCCGAACUCAGCAGUGAAACGAUGCAUCGCCGAUGGUAGUGUGGGGUUUCCCCAUGUGAGAGUAGGUCAUCGUCAAGA
rnacentral:rRNA from 1 species